UACGUAGGGAGCAAGCGUUCCGGAAUCAUUGGGCGUAAAGCGCGCGUAGGUGGCUUCGUAAGUCCGUUGUGAAAGUCAAAGGCUCAACCUUUGAAAGCCGAUGGAUACUGUGAAGCUAGAGUACGGAAGAGGCGAGUGGAAUUCCUGGUGUAGCGGUGGAAUGCGCAGAUAUCAGGAGGAACACCAAUAGCGAAGGCAGCUCGCUGGGACGUUACUGACACUGAGGCGCGAAAGCGUGGGGAGCGAACAGG
rnacentral:rRNA from 1 species